CCAUGUAAGCUGUGUAGUUGCUAAGCUUUAUUAGCAGGUUGGGAGUGGCACCCUCCAUCGAUGGUCCAGUCUUAUCGUAGCACUGGAGCCAUAGCUCUGGCUAAAGAACCAAAGGACCAGCAUACUCUGUAUUGCUAUCACUUUUGAUUUUAGAUCAGGGUGACAUCGAUCUUUGGAAGAUCGAUUAAAAAAGAGAACUUGACCAACCCAUUUGCUAAGGCCUU
rnacentral:lncRNA from 1 species